UAGGGAAUCUUCCACAAUGGACGCAAGUCUGAUGGAGCAACGCCGCGUGAGUGAAGAAGGUUUUCGGAUCGUAAAGCUCUGUUGUUGGUGAAGAAGGAUAGAGGCAGUAACUGGUCUUUAUUUGACGGUAAUCAACCAGAAAGUCACGGCUAACUACGUGCCAGCAGCCGCGGUAAUACGUAGGUGGCAAGCGUUGUCCGGAUUUAUUGGGCGUAAAGCGAGCGCAGGCGGAAUGAUAAGUCUGAUGUGAAAGCCCACGGCUCAACCGUGGAACUGCAUCGGAAACUGUGAAUCUUGAGUGCAGAAGAGGAGAGUGGAAUUCCAUGUGUAGCGGUGGAAUGCGUAGAUAUAUGGAAGAAAAACAGUGGCGAAGGCGGCUCUCUGGGCUGCAACUGACGCUGAGGCUCGAAAGCAUGGGUAGCGAACAGG
rnacentral:rRNA from 1 species